rnacentral:rRNA from 1 species
CCCUUAGAUGUUCUGGGCCGCACGCGCGCUACACUGACGAAUGCAACGAGCUUAUAACCUUGGCCGAAAGGUCUGGGUAAUCUCCAAAUUUCGUCGUGAUGGGGAUAGAUUAUUGCAAUUAUUAAUCUUCAACGAGGAAUGCCUAGUAAGCGCAAGUCAUCAGCUUGCGUUGAUUACGUCCCUGCCCUUUGUACACACCGCCCGUCGCUCCUAACGAUUGAAUGGUCCGGUGAAGCGUUCGGACCGUGGCCUUUGGACGGUUCGCCGUCUGUUGGCUGCGGGAAGUUCGUUAAACCUUAUCAUUUAGAGGAAGGAGAAGUCGUANCA